rnacentral:misc_RNA from 1 species
AAAAUGCGAUAAGUAAUGUGAAUUGCAGAAUUCAGUGAAUCAUCGAAUCUUUGAACGCACAUUGCGCCCGCCAGUAUUCUGGCGGGCAUGCCUGUCCGAGCGUCAUUUCAACCAUCAAGCCCCCGGGCUUGUGUUGGGGACCUGCGGCUGCCCGCAGGCCCUGAAAACCAGUGGCGGGCUCGCUGUCACACCGAGCGUAGUAGCAAUCACCUCGCUCAGGGCGUGCUGCGGGUUCCGGCCGUUAAACAGCCUUACAAAACCCAAGGUUGACCUCGGAUCAGGUAGGAAGACCCGCUGAACUUAAGC